GUCCUCAUUCAUAUUUCAACUAUAACCAAAGUAUUAUUGUGCUGUACGAAGAGUGGUGAUAUUAUUGUGGUAGAUGAAGAUGAUGGAUUGGCGAAGUAUAAUAAAAAUGGACAAUUUCUAGAUCUACAUUCUUAUCCUAAUUACGAUCUUAGAUCCAAAGUCACUAUGUAUAUAGAUUCUCUGCUUUUACUCCCCGGUGAUGGUGACAACAAGUCAGAUUAAGAAGAAUGAGACUAUAUGUCAAAUGUGGAGCAGCCAAAGAGUUAAGAGUUAUGUGAAGAGAAUUAGUGAGCACAAACUCCAAAAGCAUGACUUGGCUGAACUGAAUCCUAGGCUUCCAAAAAGCAAGUGUAAAUUAUUUGAGUUCUAAUUUAUAUUGUAGUGACGGCUUGAAAUUGUUUAAUAUCAAAAUUAGAAUCACAAUGUCAGAAUGGAGAACA